rnacentral:ncRNA from 1 species
CAGGAAUGGCCAGCGAUGGAAGGCAGGGCAAGGGGUUAUGGGCCAUGGACGGCGCAGCAAAGCCCGGGUUCGGAGAGCAUAGAAAACCAUACA